CUGAAGAGGAGGCAAAGGUGAGGGCAGAAGAGAGGAAGGGGAGGCGCCAGCUGAGGUUGGAAGAGAUCUCUGCUCUACCUAUGGAGGAGUGGAGUGUGGAGGAGUGCUCUGAUUUUUGCUACCUCUCUCUGCGUGAUUGGAGGUAUGAAGACGAGCAAGAUC
rnacentral:ribozyme from 1 species